rnacentral:rRNA from 1 species
UACGGGAGGCAGCAGUGGGGAAUAUUGCACAAUGGGCGCAAGCCUGAUGCAGCCAUGCCGCGUGUAUGAAGAAGGCCUUCGGGUUGUAAAGUACUUUCAGUCGUGAGGAAGGUGUUAAGGUUAAUAACCUUAGCAAUUGACGUUAGCGACAGAAGAAGCACCGGCUAACUCCGUGCCAGCAGCCGCGGUAAUACGGAGGGUGCGAGCGUUAAUCGGAAUUACUGGGCGUAAAGGGCACGCAGGCGGUUAAUUAAGUUGGAUGUGAAAUCCCCGGGCUUAACCUGGGAAUGGCAUUCAAGACUGGUUAGCUAGAGCCUUGUAGAGGGGGUAGAAUUCCAUGUGUAGCGGUGAAAUGCGUAGAGAUGUGGAGGAAUACCGGUGGCGAAGGCGGCCCCUGGGACAAAGACUGACGCUCAUGUGCGAAAGCGUGGGGAGCAAACAGGAUUAGAUACC